UAUUAGGAUGAGGUAAUUUGCGAUUGAUUCUGCCCGAUGGUCCUCUUUCGCCGGAGUGGCUAAAUCGGGCGGUUAGCUGAUAUUCAAUUUCUUACAUAUUCUGAGC
rnacentral:snoRNA from 1 species